rnacentral:rRNA from 1 species
GACGAACGCUGGCGGCGUGCUUAACACAUGCAAGUCGAACGUGAUUUUUGUGGAAAUUCUUUCGGGAAUGGAAAUGAAAUGAAAGUGGCGAACGGGUGAGUAACACGUGAGCAACCUACCUUACACAGGGGGAUAGCCGUUGGAAACGACGAUUAAUACCGCAUGAGACCACAGAAUCGCAUGAUAUAGGGGUCAAAGAUUUAUCGGUGUAAGAAGGGCUCGCGUCUGAUUAGCUAGUUGGAAGGGUAAAGGCCUACCAAGGCGACGAUCAGUAGCCGGUCUGAGAGGAUGAACGGCCACAUUGGAACUGAGACACGGUCCAAACUCCUACGGGAGGCAGCAGUGGGGAAUAUUGCACAAUGGGGGGAACCCUGAUGCAGCGACGCCGCGUGAGCGAAGAAGGUUUUCGAAUCGUAAAGCUCUGUCCUACGAGAAGAUAAUGACGGUAUCAUAGGAGGAAGCCCCGGCUAAAUACGUGCCAGCAGCCGCGGUAAUACGUAUGGGGCGAGCGUUGUCCGGAAUUAUUGGGCGUAAAGGGUACGUAGGCGGUUUUUUAAGUCAGGUGUGAAAGCGUGAGGCUUAACCUCAUUAAGCACUUGAAACUGGAAGACUUGAGUGAAGGAGAGGAAAGUGGAAUUCCUAGUGUAGCGGUGAAAUGCGUAGAUAUUAGGAGGAAUACCGGUGGCGGAGGCGACUUUCUGGACUUUUACUGACGCUCAGGUACGAAAGCGUGGGGAGCAAACAGG